AACAGGAUUAGAUACCCUGGUAGUCCACGCCGUAAACGAUGUCGACUUGGAGGUUGUGCCCUUGAGGUGUGGCUUCCGGAGCUAACGCGUUAAGUCGACCGCCUGGGGAGUAUGGCCGCAAGGUUAAAACUCAAAUGAAUUGACGGGGGCCCGCACAAGCGGUGGAGCAUGUGGUUUAAUUCGAUGCAACGCGAAGAACCUUACCUGGUCUUGACAUCCACGGAAGUUUUCAGAGAUGAGAAUGUGCCUUCGGGAACCGUGAGACAGGUGCUGCAUGGCUGUCGUCAGCUCGUGUUGUGAAAUGUUGGGUUAAGUCCCGCAACGAGCGCAACCCUUAUCCUUUGUUGCCAGCGGUCCGGCCGGGAACUCAAAGGAGACUGCCAGUGAUAAACUGGAGGAAGGUGGGGAUGACGUCAAGUCAUCAUGGCCCUUACGACCAGGGCUACACACGUGCUACAAUGGCGCAUACAAAGAGAAGCGACCUCGCGAGAGCAAGCGGACCUCAUAAAGUGCGUCGUAGUCCGGAUUGGAGUCUGCAACUCGACUCCAUGAAGUCGGAAUCGCUAGUAAUCGUGGAUCAGAAUGCCACGGUGAAUACGUUCCCGGGCCUUGUACACACCGCCCGUCACACCAUGGGAGUGGGUUGCAAAAGAAGUAGGUAGCUUAACCUUCGGGAGGGCGCUUACCACUUUGUGAUUCAUGACUGGGGUGAAGUCGUAACAAGGUAACC
rnacentral:rRNA from 1 species